AAACGACAGCAAAAAAAUUUUGUGGUCGUAUAUUGGUAUGACGUUGGCGUCGUCGUCGUCCCAAAGACACAUUGGUUUUCGCACUCUAACUUUAGUUUAAGGGAAUGGAUCUCUAUGAAAUUUUACCAUAAGGUUCAAUACCACAAAAGGAAGGUUGGGAUUGAUUUUGGGGGUUAUGGUACCAACAGUUAAGGAAUUAGGGGCCAAAAAUAAGCAUUUUUGUAACUUCCAGACAUAAAUUGUGUGUUAGUGUAUGGAUCUCUCUGACAUUGUACCACAAGGUUCCAUAUCACAAAGGGAAUGCUUGGAUUGAUUUUGGGGGUAAUUGCCUCAAAAUUUUAGGAAUUAGGGGCUAAAAAAGGGGCAAAAAACAAGCAUUGCCCAAAAUGUUUAGGAAUAAGGGGCUAAAAAGGGGCCAAAAUUAAGCAUUUUUCUAGUUUCCAGACAAUAAUUUGUGUUCAAGUGUAUGGAUCUCUCUGAAAUUGUACUGCAAGGUUCCAUAUCACAAAGGGAAAGCUGGAAUUGAGUUUGGGGGUAAUUGCCCAAAACGUUUAAGAAUAAGGGGCCAAAAGGGGGCCAAAAAUAAGCAUUUUUAUACGACCGCAAAAAAAUUUUUGUGGUCGUAUAUUGGUAUGACGUUGGCGUCGUCGUCGUCCGGCGUCGUCGUCGUCGUCAUCGUCGUCCGGCGUCGUCCGAAGACACAUUGGUUUUCGCACUCUAACUUUAGUUUAAGUGAAUGGAUCUUUAUGAAAUUUUACCACAAGGUUCAAUACCACAAAAGGAAGGUUGGGAUUGAUUUUGGGGGUUAUGGUAAUAACAGUAAAGGAAUUAGGGGCCAAAAAGGGGCCAAAAAUAAGCAUUUUUGUAACUUCCAGACAUAACUUGUGUGUUAGUGUAUGGAUUUCUCUGACAUUGUACCACAAGGUUCCAUAUCACUAAAGGAAUGCUGGGAUUGAUUUUGGGGGUAAUUGCCUCCAAAUUUUAGGAAUUAGGGGCAAAAAAAGGGGCAAAAAACAAGCAUUUUUCUAGUUUCAUGACAAUAACUUGUGUGUAAGUGUAUGGAUCUUUCUGAAAUUGUACUACAAGGUUCCAUAUCACAAAGGGAAAGCUGGGUUUGAGUUUGGGGGUAAUUGCCCUAAACGUUUAGGAAUUUGGGGCCAAAAAGGGGCCAAAAGACACAUUUUUUUCUAGUUUCCAGACAAUAACUUGUGUUCAAGUGUAUGGAUCUCUCUGAAAUUGUACUGCAAGGUACCAUACCACAAAGGGAAGGCUGGGAUUGAGUUUGGGGGUGAUGAAUCAUAAUGGGGGUUCAAAAAAUUUUGGGGGGGGAUUUAUUUUUUUUUCCUUUUUUGUUUCUUUUAAAAUUUUCCAUUUUAAGUUGGUUAUUUCUGAUUUAUAUUUAAAAUCAAAUAAUAAUGAUAUGGUAGGAGAUACACACCAAACAGGAUGUGUAAAUUAUUAUAUAAUAAGUAUUGUGCAAUAGCAAGAAAUUUUCAAUUGCACAGUAUUGCACAAUAGCAAGAAAUCUUCAAUUGCACAGUAUUGCGCAAUAGCAAGAAAUCUUCAAUUGCACAGUAUUGCGCAAUAGCAAGAAAUAUCCAAUAGCACAAUAUUGCGCAAUAGCAAGAAAUUGUCAAUUGUACAGUAUUGCGCAAUAGCAAGAAAUAUUUAAUAGUACAGGAUUGUGCAAAAGAAGAUACUUCCUAUAAAUUGCUUAUUUCUUGACCAAUUUCAAUGUGGUUUUAUUCUUGAUUUCAUGGGGUUCUUUAAUAUGCUGAAUCUAACCGUGUAUUUAGUUUUUGGAUUUUGGGCCCCGUUUUUAAAUUGGUCCACAUUGAGGUCCAAAGGGUCCAAAAUUAAACUUUGUUUGAUUUCAUCAAAAAUUGAAUUAUUGGGGUUCUUUGAUAUGCCGAAUCUAACUGUGUAUUUAGAUUCUUAAAUUUUGGUUCCGUUUUCAAAUUGGUCUACAUUAAGGUCCAAAGGGUCCAAAAUUAAACUUAGUUUGAUUUUAACAAAAAUUGAAUUCUUAGGGUUCUUUGAUAUGCUGAAUCUAAACAUGUAUUUAGAUUUUUGAUUAUGGGCCCAGUUUUCAAGUUGGUCCAAAUCGGGGUCCAAAAUUAAACUUUGUUUGAUUUCAACAAAAAUUGAAUAUAUGGGGUUCUUGGAUAUGCUGAAUCUAACCAUGUAUUUAGAUUUUUGAUUUUUGGGCCCCGUUAUCAACUUUGUCCACAUUGAGGUCAAAAGGGUCCAAAAUUAAACUU